rnacentral:rRNA from 1 species
CGGGGUGCAGCAGGCGCGAAAACUCUACAAUGCAGGCAACUGCGAUAGGGGAACAUCGGGUGGCACCCACCAUGGGUGUCUGUCCAGCCGUCUAAAAAACGGCUGUUAGCAAGGGCCGGGCAAGACCGGUGCCAGCCGCCGCGGUAAUACCGGCGGCUCGAGUGGUGGCCGAUAUUAUUGAGUCUAAAGGGUCCGUAGCCGGCUUUGCAAGUCCCCUGGGAAAUCCAGCGGCUUAACCGUUGGGCUUUCAUGGGAUACUACAUUGCUUGGGACUGGGAGAGGUAGGAGGUACUCAGGGGGUAGGGGUGAAAUCCUGUAAUCCUCUGGGGACCACCGGUGGCGAAGGCGUCCUACCAGAACAGGUCCGACGGUGAGGGACGAAAGCUAGGGGCACGAACCGGAUUAGAUACCCGGGUAGUCCUAGCCGUAAACGAUGCUCGCUAGGUGUCACGGCAGUCGUGAAUUGUCGUGGUGCCGUAGGGAAGCCGUGAAGCGAGCCACUUGGGAAGUACGACCGCAAGGUUGAAACUUAAAGGAAUUGGCGGGGGAGCACAAGGGCGAAUUCGCG